rnacentral:rRNA from 1 species
UACGUAGGUGGCGAGCGUUGUCCGGAUUUACUGGGCGUAAAGCGUGCGUAGGUGGUUCGUUAAGUCUGUCGUGAAAGCCCCGGGCUCAACCUGGGAAUGGCGAUGGAUACUGGCGGGCUAGAGUGCGGUAGAGGGUGGUGGAAUUCCCGGUGUAGCAGUGAAAUGCGUAGAUAUCUGGAGGAACACCGGUGGCGAAGGCGGCGUUCUGGGCAUUAACUGACGCUGAGGAGCGAAAGCAUGGGGAGCGAACAGG